GAUCAUGGCUCAGGAUGAACGCUAGCGACAGGCUUAACACAUGCAAGUCGAGGGGCAGCAUAAAAGUAGCAAUACUUUGGUGGCGACCGGCGCACGGGUGAGUAACGCGUAUGCAACCUACCUAUCAGAGGGGAAUAACCCGGCGAAAGUCGGACUAAUACCGCAUAAAACAGGGGCACCGCAUGGUGAUAUUUGUUAAAGAAAUUCGCUGAUAGAUGGGCAUGCGUUCCAUUAGGUAGUUGGUGAGGUAACGGCUCACCAAGCCGACGAUGGAUAGGGGAACUGAGAGGUUGGUCCCCCACACUGGUACUGAGACACGGACCAGACUCCUACGGGAGGCAGCAGUGAGGAAUAUUGGUCAAUGGGCGAGAGCCUGAACCAGCCAAGUCGCGUUGAAGGAAGAAGGAUCUAUGGUUCGUAAACUUCUUUUGCAGGGGAAUAAAGUGCAGGACGUGUCCUGUUUUGUAUGUACCCUGAGAAUAAGGAUCGGCUAACUCCGUGCCAGCAGCCGC
rnacentral:rRNA from 1 species